ACCAAAUAAUAGAAAAUAUUUUCUUAUAAAACAAUUUCUAUAAAACACAAUUUUUAUGCAUUAAUUAUUUUCCGUAAAACAAACACAGGCUUAGUUUACAUAUAUAGUUGUCCCCUCCCACCCCAAAAGGAUAGAGAUAAUCAGAGAAAGAAGGGAGCUUUAAGCUAUUAAAUGAUUUCGGCAAAUUAAAUCAAAAUUUACCAAAAGUUACCAUCUUGUUUACAUAGCUACCUCACAAUACUGUUGAAUCACAACCCACUAAGCUUCCCAGAAAAAGCCAAGUUCUGUCCCAGUGCAUGUGAUUUGGGCCAAAACCUUACCAUGUCUCUUUCUUGGCUAUCAGAAUAAAGCAAUUCUCCUCUUAGUUUAUGAGUAAGGUACUUUAAAGAAGCUAAAUUAAAACUCAAAUAUUUCCUCUCCCUUGCACUUCUGCCCUUAAAAUAAGCAAGCGGGCUUACCAUGUCAUCAACUUAUCAUAUAUCAGCAAUCUCUUCUCCAAUAAUUUUCUGGAAAUUUUUUAGAAGAAAAUGUUUGGAAAGGGCAAUAAGCAAGCUUACUCUAAUGCUCUAAUAUUUGUUAGACAUUUGUUCAAUUAAAUCUGGAUGAAAACGUACUUAUGAAUGAUCCUGUGGUUGUAAUCCAAACACAUUUUGAGGGGUAAAGCAUGGUCAACCCUAGGACCACAUAUCACAUCAGUGGAAGAAUAGAACUGCCUAGAAUGAAUGAUGAAACAACUUGCAGUUAGGCCUUUUAAGUGUGUUAGCUUUGGAAUGUAAGAAAAUUCUAGUAAUCUCGGUGUGGAUUUUCUUUUUAUUGUAAGGAUGUGGACAAAUUUUGACAACUGUCCCUGAA
rnacentral:misc_RNA from 1 species